rnacentral:rRNA from 1 species
UAGGGGGCAAGCGUUAUCCGGAUUUACUGGGUGUAAAGGGAGCGUAGACGGCCAGACAAGUCAGAAGUGAAAGCCCGGGGCUCAACUCCGGGACUGCUUUUGAAACUGCCAGGCUGGAGUGCAGGAGAGGUAAGCGGAAUUCCUAGUGUAGCGGUGAAAUGGGUAGAUAUUAGGAGGAACACCAGUGGCGAAGGCGGCUUACUGGACUGUAACUGACGUUGAGGCUCGAAAGCGUGGGGAGCAAA